CGGAAACAGGCUCCAGGCUCUGAGCCAUCAGCCCAGAGCCCGACCCGGGGCUCGAACUCCCGGACCGCGAGAUCGUGACCUGGCUGAAGUCAGACGCUUAACCGACUGCGCCACCUAGGCGCCCCUUUCCUGAAUGUGUUUUAAUAAGUUUGAAAUGGCCUGAGGUGGGACUGAAUCUGCAGGUGGAAUUCAAGUCCCUCUAGAUGUGGAGGCCGGAGGACUGGAGGAGCAGGAACCUAUGCUGGCCAUUAUGUUUAUGAUCCUACAUGUAGUUUUCCAGUGUAAACCCUAAAAUUGCUAAGGAUUUCCUUCCAAAUUAAUGUAUAGACAAAUUUUUUCAAUGAUGAUGUUCUUGUAACAAUUUAUACAUUUAAAUAAAAUAGGAGUGCCUGGGUGGCUCAAUCA